CCAUGCCGCGUGAGUGAAGAAGGCUUCGGGUUGUAAAGCUCUUUCAGACGGAAAGAAAACGCAUCGGUGAAUACCCGGUGUGGAUGACGGUACCGUAAGAAGAAGCACCGGCUAACUACGUGCCAGCAGCCGCGGUAAUACGUAGGGUGCGAGCGUUAAUCGGAAUUACUGGGCGUAAAGCGUGCGCAGGCGGUUAUGUAAGACAGAUGUGAAAUCCCCGGGCUCAACCUGGGAACUGCGUUUGUGACUGCAUAACUAGAGUACGGCAGAGGGAGGUGGAAUUCCGCGUGUAGCAGUGAAAUGCGUACAUAUGCGGAGGAACACCGAUGGCGAAGGCAGCCUCCUGGGCCAGUACUGACGCUCAUGCACGAAAGCGUGGGGAGCAAACAGGAUUAGAUCCCUGGUAGUCCACGCCCUAACGAUGUCACUAUUGUUCGGUGAGGAGACUC
rnacentral:rRNA from 1 species